AUUUAUUUCAUCAUUAUAAUAUAAGAAAAUAAUAAAAUUUCUACUUACAAUUUUUAGGUUUGAUUUAUACAAUUUUGAUCUUUAUAUGUUCGAGUUACCUAUUCAGAAUCUAGCAAUAUACAAGUCGCUUUGGAACCGCCUCUACCUCAGUGUCAAUCUAAUCCCUGAAAAAGGCAUUUCAUCAUCUUCUAUAUUGCUGAGCUCGCGUUCACAUUCACAGUUGUUACCUGCUUCACCGGGGAGGGAGGGGAGGGACAUUUUCGGCAUUUUGUGUUUGUCAAUUUCUGUCGAUUGCAAUUAUAUAUGUACGAAUUUCAUCCAUCUUUCUCUCUCUUGCUUCCAUCAAUUUCAUCCAUGGCUACACAUAACGAACACUCAAUUGAUGGUUUAGCUAAUUAACUUCUUCGUCAUCAUCUUCACACUCUUCGUGUGAGAGGAAGAAGAGUGGUAAUUUGUUUUUUCUCGUAGUGUGUGUUUCCAACAACUUCCAAACACACCAAAUCCGCUAUGGAAGGUGCAUCUUCUCCGACUUGGGAACAAAUUGAACUUUCAGAAAGGUACUCUUUUCCUUCUUAUAUUACUAGCAGCAAUUUGGUCAUUUGGGUAUGUGUCAAAGUGUUCUUUUUUUUCUUUGGGGUCAAUUGUUAUGCUGAAUUGAUUUUGUCCUCCCACUGGCCCACCCUCCAACAUACAUCAUCUUCACCCACCCCCGCAGCCCUCAUCCCCACCAU